ensembl:lncRNA
AUGACCGAUUGCCAAAUGGUGUCUUCAGAUUUCACUGCAGAUGAGAGGUUGGAGAUUGAGAGCAUGAAGAUGCAUAAGAGAGACCUGCUAGAGGACAUCCAGGUAAACACACACACACACACACACACACACACACACACACACACACACACACACACACACACACACACACACACACACACACACACACACACACACACACACACACACACACACACACAUACACACACACACACACACAGAGGUCUAUGGUCUAUGAAUCACCCUUGUCUGAAAAUCCUUUUCCAGAAGCUAAAGAUGGAGAUUGACAAAGUCAUGGCGGAAGUUCAAGACUUUGAGUCUACAGAGGAGAAGUGAGUGGUCUUUAAUCUUUUAUCCUUCCUUAACCAUUAUCACUGUUCUUCUUUUUAACCAUUAGGCUUGUGCAUUCCCUAUUCAUUCCCUAUUCAUUCCCUAUUCAUUCCCUAUUCAUUCCCUAUUCCCUAUUCACCCCCUAUUCAUUCCCUAUUCACCCCUUAUUCAUUCCCUAUUAAUUCCCUAUUCAUUCCCUAUUCACCCCCUAUUCAUUCCCUAUUCACCCCUUAUUCAUUCCCUAUUCAUUCCCUAUUCACCCCCUAUUCAUUCCCUAUUCACCCCUUAUUCAUUCCCUAUUCAUUCCCUAUUCAUUCCCUAUUCACCCCCUAUUCAUUCCCUAUUCACCCCUUAUUCAUUCCCUAUUCAUUCCCUAUUCAUAGCCUGCUCAACCCCUAUUCAUUCCCUAAUCAUAGCCUGCUCAACCCCUAUUCAUUCCCCAUUCAUAGCCUGCUCAACCUCUAUUCAUUCCCUAUUCACUCCCUAUUCAUAGCCUGCUCAACCCCUAUUCACUCUCUAUUCAUUCCCUAUUCACCCCCUAUUCAUAGCCUGCUCAACCUCUAUUCAUUCCCUAUUCACUCCCUAUUCAUAGCCUGCUCAACCCCUAUUCACCCUCUAUUCAUUCCCUAUUCACUCCCUAUUCAUAGCCUGCUCAAACCCUAUUCAUUCCCUAUUCAUAGCCUGCUCACCCCCUAUUCAUAGCCUGCUCAACCUCUAUUCAUUCUCUAUUCACCCCCUAUUCAUAGCCUGCUCAACCCCUAUUCAUUCCCUAUUCAUAGCCUGCUCAACCCCUAUUCAUUCCCUAUUCAUAGCCUGCUCAACCCCUAUUCAUUCCCUAUUCAUAGCCUGCUCAACCCCUAUUCAUUCCCUAAUCAUAGCCUGCUCAACCCCUAUUCAUUCCCCAUUCAUAGCCUGCUCAACCUCUAUUCAUUCCCUAUUCAUUCCCUAUUCAUAGCCUGCUCAACCCCUAUUCAUUCUCUAUUCAUAGCCUGCUCAACCCCUAUUCAUAGCCUGCUCAACCCCUAUUCAUUCCCUAUUCAUAGCCUGCUCAACCCCUAUUCAUUCCCUAUUCACCCCCAAUUCAUAGCCUGCUCACCCCUAUUCACCCCUUAUUCAUAGCCUGCUCAACCCCUAUUCAUUCCCUAUUCACCCCCUAUUCAUAGCCUGCUCAACCCCUAUUCAUUCCCUAUUCAUAGCCUGCUCAACCCCUAUUCAUUCCCUAUUCAUAGCCUUCUCAACCCCUAUUCAUUCCCUAUUCACCCCCAAUUCAUAGCCUGCUCACCCCCUAUUCAUCCCCUAAUCAGUCCCUGUUCAUUCCUUAUCCAUACUUUACAUGUGUUGUCCUUUAUAAACUAUGUGGUCAUCUUUUAUGAAUGUAUUAUUCUUUGCUGAUGUAAGGGCGUUCGUCUGUAGGAGGAAGAGAAGCGGACCAAAGCGCAGCGUGGUGGUUAUUCAUGUUUUAAUAACUCAAUACACAUGAACAAACUAACAAAAACAAGAAAUGUGCAAACGCAAAACAGUCCUCUCCUGUGACAAACAAACACAGUGACAGGAACAAUCACCCACAAACACACAGUGAAACCCAGGCUACCUAAAUAUGGUUCCCAAUCAGAGACAAUGACGAACACCUGCCUCUGAUUGAGAACCAUAUCAGGCCGAACAUAGAACUAGACCAAAACAUAGAAAAACAAACAUAGACUGCCCACCCAACUCACGCCCUGACCAUACUAAAUAAAUACAAAAACAAAGGAAAUAGAGGUCAGAACGUGACAGUACCCCCCCCCAAAGGUGCGGACUCCGGCCGCAAAACCUUGACCUAUAGGGGAGGGUCUGGGUGGGCGUCUGUCCGCGGUGGCGGCUCUGGCGCGGGACGCGGACCCCACUUCACCAUUGUCUUAGUCCGCCUUAUUGUCCGCCUCCCUGGCUUACUCACCAUGACCACCCCUCUCAAUGACCCCACUGGACAGAGGGGCUGCUCGGGACAGAGGG